CCCCCUGCUCUCUGCAGCACAGAGAAGAUUAAUGGCAGCAGACACCGGAGCUGCCAACUUGGAAGAUUUCUGUGGCAGAGCAAGAAUAGCUAUGCAUGAGGAAUUUGUGAUAAAAAGCUAGCUGGGACUGUAAUACAGUGCUGGAAAGGAGCCGAGCUGCCCUUCCAUAAUGCAGCCACAUUAAGGUCUGUCUGAUUGUGAUGACAGACAGGUAUUUGACUGAAUACAGUGGCAGCUAUAUAUAAAAAAAAAAAGUAGCUAAAAGCUAAUGUCAAAAGGUGAUGUAGGGUUGUCACAUGCUAUCCACAAUAAUUUUUACUACGACCACUUGCUGGUGAGGAGGGCAAAGGAAACAAUAUUGUCACUGGCUGCCAGGCUGCCUCUGAUGUGCAGGCUUUGGGGACAGAGGGUCCCUUGUCUCCCUCCCUGACGGACAUGUAGCUCUGCCCAAGAGACGUGUAUUGUCUCGCUUGUUUUCCUUUGCCUUGGUUGGAAGAAAAAUGCUACUGGAGAGAGGAAAGAAGGAAUAUGUUGUACUUGGCCCUGUGACUAUAACAGCAAGAAUAUAACCAUGCAACAGGAAAGUCCGGGAUGAAGCUGUGGAAUUCCCUGCUGUCUCCAUGCUUGCUUUGUGACCAGCUGUGCUCCUCGUUCAGUACAAAGCUGUUCUUUUUCAUUCUUCUGAAAGGUGCAGUAUGUCCUGGUGCCCACUGCAGCCAGCCAGAUGGACACCUCCUGCCUCCCACCCACACUGGGUCAUCCCACUCCCAGCCCUGCCUGGCACCCAGAGCAGAUGGGGUACACCCAAGCACACGUCUCCAACUGCAGGGUGAGGUAUCACCCACACCUCUCACCCUUCUCAGGCACUGCUUUGUGUCCGAGUGACCCUUUGUGUUCCUGGGUCACGCCCCCGACCUCUGUGUUCUGCUGUCUUUAUAUUACAAAGAGCACACACAGCCCAAGCUCAUGGAUCAUUUUAUCUUAAAAUACAUACCCAGUCACAUAUGUCUUCAUUCUCUCCCACGGUUUAUCUUCUUUGGCUUUCUUAUAUCUAUUCUAUGUGCCCUGUUGAAAGAUGUUUUCCCCCUAUCUUUUAAUUCUGGGUUUUGUGGGGAUUUUAUUUAUUUUUAUUUUUAUUUUUAUUUUUUGUCGCUUCUGGCGUUGAUUAUUUUGAAGAACCCACAAUAAUUUAGGGCUGUUAUUGUUUUGAAAAUCUACUGUAUUAAAAAUACCUUCCUAUUGCAGAUUUUGUCUAAAUAUUCCUGGUUUUCAGGUCACUGACUGUUUUUUUCCUGAUCAUCUUCUGCUCUCUGUAUAAGGAUGCUAAAGGGAGAAAUGUUAUUUGAGUUGCAGAUACAUUGUAAGCCAGGAGUAAUAAAGUUCUGGUGUGAAGCUCA
rnacentral:lncRNA from 1 species